rnacentral:lncRNA from 1 species
AAAAUUUUUAAGAAAACGGAAGAUGCAGAUGUUAUAAAUACUUUUGAUUCGUAAGUAAUGUAUCUAUGUAUUUCUUUGGUGUAGUUUAUCAUCACUAUAUGUGUUUUAAUCUAUUUCAAGAUUGGAAAAUUAAAGUAUAGAGACUAGUUGGUAAUUGUUUGGUUGAUUAAUUUAAUUUUAUGUAAUUUGAAAUGAAGGGACCCGAUGAGUAAGAUUCAGAAACAAAAAAGAAAAGGGAAGAAUAAUGAGAGAGAAAAUGGAAAAAAUCCAUAUUUUGCCAGAAAU